GUAAAAUCUUGCUGUGCGUAGCUGCAAAAACAAGAAUUCUGCUUGUUAGAGGCACGCAUCCAAAAAUAAGAAGCAUGGACCAAUGUCUUGGGGACACAAGAGGGGUCUCACACCACUCGAUUAGCUGCAGCCAUCCAGCAAAACCAUCAGAACCCCACCUUUGGUCUUACAUUAGGUACUUCUCAUCUCUAACAGUUAAUGGUUGGCCAUCUGAAACUGAAAGGAGGUUGAAGAACAAAAAUAUAUAGCUUAAUUAUCUUAUUUAUACCACAUGAUUAUAUAUAGCACUGAGCAUCUGUAUUUUUGUCUACAAAGCAUAGAACAUAAAAUAGAUAACUCGAACUAAUUUACUUUCAAGCAUCAUAUAAAGAUCGUUGCUACUAACAUUAGAUAAAUUCAAACAAGUUUUUGAGAAACUGUACACCACAUAAUUUUGGACCAGAUUUUUUUAUCACGGGCGGAUGCAUAACAGUUCCAAGAGGAUGCCACCUAAAGAAAGAAACAACAAAACAUGAACAAUACUCUAAAGGAUUAAUUUCAAGCUUAAUAUAGUAUCCUCAGGAUAGACAGAAUAAAUUUCCAACGGCAGCCACAUCACAUCAUAGGCUAACGAGACUCCCAACAAAUUAUACGCAAGGAUUUUCAGUUUGCCAUCAAAGAUCAAAAGGAAAAUAUAUGGUUCAUGCUCUCUUUUUUCUCUCAUGCAACUCUUAUUAAAAAUUGAUUGGUUCAUGGAAAAGAAAGGCAUGCAUUUUAGUGAACAUAUGUUUCAGUUGUCUUUUCUUAUCCGUGUUUGGAAAAGAUCAAAUAGAACAUAAGCGAACCCAAAAAUAUCCUGGUGAUGAAACAAAAUAUAUACAAUUUCAUGUCUCCUACAGUCCUAUCGAGCAGGGAAGGAAAUCAAGCUACCAAAUGCUAGUUUAUGGGUCGAGAACCCCACAAGAUAGAAGCAAAUAUCUACCACACGGAUUCUUGCUAUGAUUGACUGGAACUAAUGUUUUGAUCGGAUAGUUUUUUUGUUCUUUACACUUUUAUUUACCUCAUGGAUUCUUAUUAAUCACAAAAUCAUCUUGUUAUAAUUGACUGCAACUGGUUUUUUUAAGAAUGAAAUCACAUACAUAGAUCACUCCUCUCCUCUAGACUUCUAGGACAUUCAUCAAACACCGUUAGGCGGUUUUUGGAAGAAUGAAAUCACAUGGUUACAUAGAGCAUUCCUUCCCUUCAGCCUACUAAGACUUUCAUCGAACACCUUGUAGGCGUACAGAAACAAAAUUUGCACAAACAAAUACACGGGAAGGAGGAGGGAAAUUAGGAAGAUGACAAGAGUGUGUGCACCUGCUUGAGAGGAGCAGCUCCACCGGCACCACAGGGACGCGGCUGACCUCCUCCUUCUUCCCAGCAGCACCACCGCACCACGACAACC
rnacentral:lncRNA from 1 species